CUACGAUCAGAUUUUCUUUUUCUUCAGCUUUAUUGAUUGUCUACAUAUUAAUCUGUUGAUGUUUUGUAACAUUUUACAGCUGUAGAAGAUCAUGUACCAAUGAAAAGAUUCUAAAAAUGAAAAUGAUUUAUUCAGUAACCUACCAACCGUUGGGAGAACGACGCGGUCGCCGGGGAACGUACAUGCUCCUUGCAAUCAGCGGUCGGAGUUGAACCCGUGUUGGUUGUGUAGUAAAGAAGCUGUGAAAACCACCGAUUCUCACAGAUAGGGUUAAAGCGUCAGUACGUGGGCAGCGGCGGAAUUAUCCGUUUUGUCUUUGUCGACCUGUUCAGUGGAAAUUCAGUGUCAUCGCACCACUCCACACUGGAAUGCUCCACACCUUCAUUCACGUGUUUGAUUAAUCGUUUGUCUUUCUGGGAAUGUCUGUUUCUGCAUAUCGUAUCUGUGUGGGUGAAGUUUUCCUGAACCUCAACGCUCUGGCACAAGACCAGUCCGCUAAUUGCUCACCUGGGCUAAAGUCCUCAUUCCCGACAGUGUUUGCAGAACUUAAAAGACAGCCGACACCCGCCGACAGUGUGGUUAAGAACGGAUCCUUCUCUUUAUCAGUCGAUGCGUUGAGUUCAAAGGUCAGAAAGUAAUGUUGCACCUUCAGAAAAAUUGAGUUUGGCCGCAA